rnacentral:rRNA from 1 species
AACGAACGCUGGCGGCGUGGAUAAGACAUGCAAGUCGAACGCUGAUUUCAGGGUAGCAAUAUUCUGGAGUCGGAGUGGCGCAAGGGUGCGUAACACGUGGGUAAUUUGCCAUGAAGCCCGGAAUAACUCGCUGAAAGGCGAGCUAAUACCGGAUGUGAUCUUCGGGAGGCAUCUCCUGAACCUUAAAGCUGGGACCGUAAGGCCUGGCACUUCUUGAUAAGCCCGCGGCCUAUCAGCUAGUUGGUGAGGUAACGGCUCACCAAGGCUAAGACGGGUAGCUGGUCUGAGAGGACGACCAGUCACACUGGAACUGAGACACGGUCCAGACACCUACGGGUGGCAGCAGUCGAGAAUUUUUCUCAAUGGGCGAAAGCCUGAAGGAGCGACGCCGCGUGGGGGAGUGAA